rnacentral:rRNA from 1 species
CUUUGGAUGGAUUUCUUCGGAUUGAUAUCCUUAGUGACUGAGUGGCGGACGGGUGAGUAACGCGUGGGUAACCUGCCUCAUACAGGGGGAUAACAGUUAGAAAUGGCUGCUAAUACCGCAUAAGCGCACAGUACCGCAUGGUACCGUGUGAAAAACUCCGGUGGUAUGAGAUGGACCCGCGUCUGAUUAGCUAGUUGGCAGGGUAACGGCCUACCAAGGCGACGAUCAGUAGCCGACCUGAGAGGGUGAUCGGCCACAUUGGGACUGAGACACGGCCCAAACUCCUACGGGAGGCAGCAGUGGGGAAUAUUGCACAAUGGGGGAAACCCUGAUGCAGCGACGCCGCGUGAAGGAAGACGUAUUUCGGUAUGUAAACUUCUAUCAGCAAGGAAGAUGAUGACGGUACUUGACUAAGAAGCCCCGGCUAACUACGUGCCAGCAGCCGCGGUAAUACGUAGGGGGCAAGCGUUAUCCGGAUUUACUGGGUGUAAAGGGAGCGUAGGCGGCCAUGCAAGUCAGAAGUGAAAGCCCGGGGCUCAACCCCGGGACUGCUUUUGAAACUGUAAGGCUAGAUUGCCGGAGAGGUAAGCGGAAUUCCUAGUGUAGCGGUGAAAUGCGUAGAUAUUAGGAGGAACACCAGUGGCGAAGGCGGCUUACUGGACGGUGAAUGACGCUGAGGCUCGAAAGCGUGGGGAGCAAACAGGAUUAGAUACCCUGGUAGUCCACGCUGUAAACGAUGAAUACUAGGUGUUGGGGUCCAAAAGGAC